rnacentral:rRNA from 1 species
UACGUAGGGUGCAAGCGUUGUCCGGAAUUAUUGGGCGUAAAGAGCUCGUAGGCGGUCUGUCGCGUCUGCUGUGAAAACCCGGGGCUCAACCCCGGGCUUGCAGUCGAUACGGGCAGGCUAGAGUUCGGUAGGGGGAGACUGGAAUUCCUGGUGUAGCGGUGAAAUGCGCAGAUAUCAGGAGGAACACCGGUGGCGAAGGCGGGUCUCUGGGCCGAUACUGACGCUGAGGAGCGAAAGCGUGGGGAGCGAACAGG